CAGAAUUCACGAGAAGCAGAACAAAAAAACA
rnacentral:sRNA from 1 species